GGUUGGUUGGUGAGCCAAGUUAAAACCAACGUGUGUAAGGGUUUGAUUGUGAGCCCGGAAAAACAAUCGGGGUUGGUUCUAGUCGGUGAGCCUGGAAAAACCGACCGAGUUCGUUGUGAGCUCGUAAAACAACAAGUUUGGUUGUGAGCUUGCAAAACAACCGACUGUAAUCCAAGGGGGUUAUAGUGAAAUUCCCAAGUGAGACUUGGGGAGUGGACGUAGGAGCAAGGGUUAGCUCCAAACCACUAUAAACCUUGUGUUUGUGAUUGAUUGGCUCUUUUCCUCUUCCUC
rnacentral:lncRNA from 1 species